ACAUGUUGCUUUCAGUUAUCGCCCCUAAAAAGUCAUGGGCAGUCAAUCUUCUGGAAGUUACAGGUUGAUUAGUCAGGAUGCUAUGCGUCUUUUCAUUUUGGGUGGUGUUCUGUGGAACAUGCUAAUUCAGAUUGUGAAUGUUCUCAAUAUUCUCGGAGAAUCUGUAACUAGUGUAUAUUGUCACAUUUGAGAAUAUGACUAAUGGAGGAGUUAUGAAACCUGAGCACAUUGCCACAGCUUCAAGAUAAGAUAAAACUUGCUGCUACUGAUCCACAGAAUAGGACAUCCAACUACAGGGAGAAAAUUUAUUCCCACCAAGCCUUCAACGAAAAACUUUGAGACGACUGAAACCAUCGAUAAAAGAAUAUCAGCAGCA